rnacentral:tRNA from 1 species
UGCCCCAUGGCCAAGCGGUAAGGCAGUGGACUCUGACUCCACGAUGCGUUAGUUCGAAUCUAACUGGGGCAGCCA